rnacentral:lncRNA from 1 species
ACAGCUGAGCCUGCUGCGGUUGCUGCUGACUUCAAAGGCACUGCUUCCCUUGGAUCCACAUCAAGGACUGGAAUGAGAAAAGGGUCCCCUGACCUUCUUAUAGUGAGCGCUUAAACCUUUGUGUUGUGUGCAUGUGGGGUGUGUGUGUGUGUAUGUGUGUGUGUGUAUUUUUCCUGUCACUAUUGUGUUUUUAUGCGCUGGAUGUAGAAUGUUUGAAAACAAUAAUCGGAAAUUGUCUUUCACCUAUGGCCGGAGGCUGGAAUCUGGCUCAGUGAGGGGAGAGGCUGUGUUCACCCAGUGGGAACCUGGUGGCCACAUGACGGAUGUCACUAGGGUGGAUGGCAGGGCCUUCCCAGCCCCGGUCCCAAACACUGGUGCUCUGAGGUCCCCUCAGCCAGCCAGGCCACUGGCACUUGUUGAGUGUGUCUCUGCGACCCGGCUCUUUCAGUGGGAGAUGCCAGCCUGGAGCCCACCAUCCACCUCACUCUCAAGGUUUUCCAUUUCAGCUCAACCCGACCUGAUUAUCAACACCACACCAGGCCUGAAAGCCAGCCCUCUCCUGGGCUCUUGGGAAGGUGCCCUUGUGGUGGUGGGGAGCCCUGUGAGGAGAUAGCAGAGUUUCCACCCACCCCGGGGUUAAGGCUAUGGGUGCUGGUCGUGGGAAGCUGAUGAACUCUGUGGCCAUAAGUAAGGGAUCGUGAAGCUUCUCCAACCCCAGCUGCCCGCUCAGGCCUGCACUCGGCUUCCUCUCUGGGGAAGGGCAACAACAAGCAGCUCCUUCUCACAAGCCCGUCCCCUGCUGGGAGGCAUCGCCCAGCUUCAGUGGCCUCUCGUUAACAGAAAGCACCACAGCAAUGCUAACAGGGGCCGGCUAGGCCUGUGCGGCAUGACCUCUCCCAAAAGGAGACCAGCCAAGCUGCAGGCCAAUACCCACAGGCUGCAAAGGAGACGGAGACUGUUGACGAGGGAAAUAAUGAGAAGCACGAAGAUUUGUACCGAAGGGAUAUUGGCCGCAGAGAGCCUCUCUUCAGGCUUUCUCAACCAUUCUUGGUAGGCCCUGAGGUUUAAAGGAUCCAGCGCAGAAAAAUCAGGCCCAAACUGAUGAGGGCCUAGCCUUCCAAAAAGACGCAAAUCACCCCUUUCCUGCCCCAAACACCGGGCAGAGCAAAUGCUAUUAAUAACCCCAGCCUCCCCCAGCCCAUGCAGGCCCUCUAGUGCGGCCAGCUGUUCCGAAACAGGUUUGGGAAAGUGAUCUUUGGCACAUAAUGAAAAGGGUGUGUAUGUGUGGGGGAGCACCCAAGAGUUCUCUAUCAGGGCCAAUAUUAUUUUUAAUUGCCGAGAAUCGGCCUGUGGCCGUUACUCAAGGCUGCAGAGCACAGGCUUGCCAGGGAUCGGAAACCAACUUCAAGAGGAGGUAAAAAAGCACGUUCCAAGGACUGCUCAUUACCGAGCUGUCGUUUCUUACGGAAAAUCAGGUUACGCCUCAGAGUUUAUACAGUCCUCUCCCCACCACCUCUCCCUCUUUCGUUCCCAUUUAGAAAAGGAGCAGUGAAUUUGAGCAAUCUGGGAAUUUUGGUUUCUGCCCUUCCCCCGAAGCAUGACCGAUGGCCCAUUUUUCAAGCCAAAUCUCACCCCUUGCAGGCAGCUGUCAGGAAACCACAGAAGGUGCUUGAAGGCACACAAGAAAUGGCUGGUUCUAAUCUGGAGAAAAAAAUGAAUUAACAAGGCAGCUACUUAUGGAAGAAUGUUUUCUUUUCUUCAGCCCCAGCCUGCAUAUUUUCACAACAUGUGUACUCUGUUACCUUGUCACUUCCCUGUUUUCUUUGGGUAAAUAACUGGGCUCUGGACUUGGGGGGCGGGAAGAAAGAAAAACCCAGCUCGCAGUAUCACUGGGAAGGCCUGGCAGGCUGAGCUGGAGGGGAAGAAGGAGCACGCCCCGAGGAGAGAACAAGCCCAUUGCAGGCUCGGCUUGGCCCAUUCUGGAUGGGGCUUUUCAUUGAACUCUGCAGGUAAUGAUGUGGCAAUGAGAGACGGAGGAGAAAACUGCUCACCUCAGCCUUGGGCUUGGCAGACCUGAGGCUGAGGGAAAUAAAGAACUUCUCUCCUUCGCCAAGUCAAAUGUGAAGCCCUCUCUGAACCCGGCAGAGUCAACAAGGCAGACGGAGGCUUUUCUGCCAGCCUCUGCCCUCCCACUGGCUAGAGAAGCGGCCAGGGUGAGAGAGGUUGGUCUCAUCAUGCCCAGCCGUGAACUCUGGAGGGACCGGCAGCAGCCCGGGCCUUCCGUGGAGCACACUAUUGCUUCCUUUGUAGCAAUACAUGGUCCAUGUUUGGAUGUGGAGGCAAUGGGCUCCAUCCAGAAGGUGCCCAGAGGUUUCUGAGUUCCUCUCUUCCAGAGCUGCUGUGAACAUUUUCACUUCUCUGGCCUUGGAAUACUUACCUUGUGAUGUCUGUACCAUACCCUGGAUGGGUAUCUAGCAUGGCAUCUUUUAGAUAUGCCCUGGUGAUGAGGGCACCAGGGGGAUGAAUAGCUGUGGGGAAACAAAUGGCCACUCUAACAAGUCAGGGUCUUUUCUUCAUAACACUAUAGCAACUCUCAUUUGCUUAGGUCCUCACAGCUGAUCAUUAGAACAGAGAACUAACAAUAAUAUUGCUGCCUCAUUACUCCUAAGACUGCACAGUACACAAAAGGAGUUAGUUUGCCACGUGCCAAAACAUGGCUGUGGGUGCUGGCUCCACCCUGCAGAGGGAAACUGAGGCAGAGAGCGCUCAGAGGCUGAGACCAGCACAAAAUCCCCCACAGCUGACAUGGCAAAGGCAGGGUUGACUGGGGGCUGUAUGGGCCUCUGCAUAAGUCCAUUUCCUUUCUGCAUUUGCUCAAGAGCCUUUGGUUCCCACCUUAAACUCCCUGUCUCACCCUGUAGAUCACACAGCCUUCGUCAGGCAGAGGUUUGGCGUUCAAAAGUGGCAUUUUCCGUUGCAAAGAUCUGGCCCCCACCUGUUGAGUGGUUCUUUCAGUAUCACUGGAAGGGCUGCAAAUGUCUGGUGAGGCAGGGUCACUUGGAGAGAAAAUUUGAUGCGUUGUAAGCGUUGCCUCUUCAGAACUGGCAUUUCCAGGGUGACGAGGGCUUUCACAGGGAGAAAAAGGACAAACCAAAAGCUUUCUAGGACAGUUAUGGACUCUCCAAAUUAUUCAUGUGGUCUAAUUCUGCAAAGACAGCUUCAGAGACGUGCUGUGAGGCAGACAGGAGCAGCUCUGAGGACAAAGACAAUAGCUCGUGUACAUUGCUGCCACAAGGACCAUGCUGAGAACUUUGCACACAUGACCUCAUUUCAUCCUCCCACUCGCCCUCUGCAUGGAAGACUGUUGUCCUCCUUUUCCAGCAGAGGAAACUACAGAGACCAGACAAGUCGGGCCACCAGUGUGACUCUAAAGCCGGUAUGUUCAUUCACCAAGCUGCAGUGCCUUUGAGGACAAAGCUGAAGGAGCUCCCGUCUCAGAAUGAUGCCAUUUAGCUCGAGGGCCUGCUCCCUCUGGCUUGAUGGCCUGUCCAGAAGGCUCUGCCAGUGCCCAGAUGUAAACAUCUCUCCAGCAGCGUUGCCACGUGGAACCCUCACGCUGCUGGUCCCUGAGAAGCCACACGGGGAACUUGCCUUCCUCUGCCCUCCUCCCAGGCCCAGGCCUUGACCUACCUGGUUUAUAUUUAUACCUCAGCCUGAAUCCUCACACUGCUAUUCUUUUCUUCUUCCUAGUCACCUCGCCUAAGUGUCCCCAGCGGUGCUCUGCAGAGCAGAGGCCCCAGCUCCAAAACAACAGAACACAAAGUACUUUAACCUUUGAAUGUGGCAAGACCUCCGUGAAAAAUCGUUUCUCAGCCCAUUUGAUGGGAAAAGGGUGCUAUUUUUGUGACUACCUGUAACAUCUGAGUAUGCUCGUCAGAAGUCACUCCGAGGAAAAAUCUGAUUAUUAGUUGGGAAAAUGGGGCAAGGAGGAGGCAGAGAAGAGAAGUAGCUCUGCUGGGUAUGUGGCAGUGUGACUUCUAGAACUGUUUGUGUCCAUGUGGACUUGGACAAGCCACUUCAGGACUCUGGGUCUGGGUCUUCUCAUCCAAAACAAGAUGUAAUUAUGAUGUAGGUGGAGAUGAGAUUAUUCUGGAGUAGGGUGGGCCCUCAAUCCAAUACGGCUGGUGUCCUUAUAAGAAGAGGGGAGAGGAACAGAGACAGACACUGUCAUCCACAAGGAGACCACCAUGUGAAGACACAGAUGCAUAGGGAAGGGCCACGUGAAGAUGACAGCAGUGACGGGAGUGGGGCAGCUACAAGCCAAGGAAUGUGGAGGAGUGCCGGCCACCACCAGAAGCUGAGAAGAGGCAAGGAAGGACCCUUCCCCACAGCCUUUAGGAGGAACAUGGCCCUGCCGAAACCUUGAUAUCACACCUCUAGCCUCCAGAACAACGAUGCAAUCAAUUUCUGUUGUUUUCAGACACUCAGUAAAGUACCCGCGUGGCUAGGGGAGCCCUAGGAAGCGAGUAUAGCUCUCGUGGCCGAAUGGAAUGAAGCGAAGCCUUCAUGUCAGCAUUGGGCUUGCAGGUGCUGAGCCCCCGAUGGUGGCCCCUCUUCCCGGCUUUCUCUCAGGGGCAUGGGUGGGGUGGAGAUAUUCAACUACUUCCAACGGAAACCAACACUUGAAAGGUUAUGAAGGCCCCUAAACCUCCUGCUCUUCCAUGGUGAUGGCUGACAGCUAAAGCCACACUGCCACUACCCUAAGCCCAAGCUUGAUCACCUGGAAAUGGGGACUGAGAGAGGACGAGAACAGCACAGCCUUUGAGCUCUCAUGGGGUGGCGUAAAUUUAUGGUCAAUAUGCCUCCAGAUCAGAGGUCCUGCUGUUAGAGAGUUUUCUUUUUUUGCUUUAGUGGUACACAGGAAUUCUCCCCCAGCCCCCUCAAGAUACUCACACAUCUUUUUAAAAUUUGCACCUUUUUUUCAGUCUGGUUUCCUAUGGUGAAGGGGAGGCUAGGAAAUGCCCAAUAAAUCAUCUGUCUGUCUUCACUCAAUUGAAAGGCAGGAAAUGCAGAGAACAGUCACGUUACCUUUCCACUUUGCAUAUAACAAGAGCUAUCAGGACCUGUUCCUUUGAAGGGGAGGCCCUUCUGACAGCAAUAUUAAAUUUUCGAGGCCACUGGAGUUUGUUUCUUGGGACCAGACCCAAAGUGGGCAGGCAUGUGGGAUGUUGGCUCUUUCCCCUACCAGCCCCUUCUAGGAGUAACUUCUUGGGCUUACCCUGGGAAAUCUACUCAGUCAGCAAUGAUUUAGGGGCUCCAUGUGCACAGCACCAUUGUAAGUCUAUGUGGAUUAAAGGAAUUCUACUCUUGAGUCCUAAUUCUUAACAAAUUUACAUCUACAGACAGUCCUAGACUUAUAAUGAUUCAACUAAAUGAUUCCUUGACUUUAUGAUGGUGUGAAACUUCCAAUUUUAACACAAUGUACAGUAUUCAAUAAACAUGAGAUAUUCCCUACU